CAGGCUGCUUCACAUCUGCGGCACAGCAUUCCGGCAGGCUGUUGUGGCAGAAAACAUCCCGCUGGAGUUCUCCAGAUCUGGCAUUGCUGGACGCUACUGGAAUGUCUGCCGGCCCCAGUAGCUAUAAUGGGGUCUGGUGGAAAACC